CCUACGGGAGGCUGCAGUGAGGAAUAUUGGUCAAUGGGCGGGAGCCUGAACCAGCCAAGUCGCGUGAGGGAAGACGGUCCUAUGGAUUGUAAACCUCUUUAGGCGGGGAGCAAUGCCGGGCACGCGUGCCCGGAGGGAGAGUACCCGCAGAAUAAGCAUCGGCUAACUCCGUGCCAGCAGCCGCGGUAAUACGGAGGAUGCGAGCGUUAUCCGGAUUGAUUGGGUUGAAAGGGUGCGUAGGCGGAUUUUUAAGUCAGCGGUAAAAUGUCCGGGCUCAACCCGGGCCGGCCGUUGAAACUGGGGAUCUUGAGUGGGCGAGAAGUAUGCGGAAUGCGUGGUGUAGCGGUGAAAUGCAUAGAUAUCACGCAGAACUCCGAUUGCGAAGGCAGCAUACCGGCGCCCGACUGACGCUGAGGCACGAAAGCGUGGGGAUCGAACAGGAUUAGAUACCCUAGUAGUC
rnacentral:rRNA from 1 species